rnacentral:rRNA from 1 species
GACGAACGCUGGCGGCGUGCCCAACACAUGCAAGUCGAACGAGGUCCAAGGAAGCUUGCUUCCUGAAGACCUAGUGGCGAACGGGUGAGUAACACGUGAGAAACCUGCCUCGGAGUGGGGAAUAACUCGGGGAAACUCGAGCUAAUACCGCAUACCUUCACAUGAUCGCAUGGUCGAGUGAAGAAAGAAUUUCGCUCUGAGAGGGUCUCGCGGCCUAUCAGCUUGUUGGUGGGUAACGGCCUACCAAGGCAACGACGGGUAGGCUGGUUUGAGAGAACGAUCAGCCACACUGGGACUGAGACACGGCCCAGACUCCUACGGGAGGCAGCAGUGGGGAAUCUUGCGCAAUGGGCGAAAGCCUGACGCAGCAACGCCGCGUGCGGGAUGACGGCCUUCGUGGUUGUAAACCGCUUCAGCAGGACGAAAUGACGGUACCUGCAGAGAAGCCCGGCUAACUACGUGCCAGCAGCCGCGGUAA